rnacentral:rRNA from 1 species
AGCGCAGACGGUUAUUUAAGUCUGAAGUGAAAGCCCUCGGCUCAACCGAGGAAUUGCUUUGGAAACUGGAUAACUUGAGUGCAGUAGAGGAGAGUGGAACUCCAUGUGUAGCGGUGGAAUGCGUAGAUAUAUGGAAGAACACCAGUGGCGAAGGCGGCCUACUGGGCACCAACUGACGCUGAGGCUCGAAAGUGUGGGUAGCAAACA